UGCAUUGCAGGAUGCAGAAGAACAAGGGGUGUAUUUAACACCAAUGUGGACCCAUCCUCCCAAACGCAGUUGUAGCAGUGUCCAAUACAAUGAAUUUUUGCAGUGUUUUGUUAGAAAAAACAGAGGAUGAGUUGCCAUUUACUACCACUCUGAGGAUAAAAAGCAGUGGGUUUGGGCCAUGAAAAUCAGGGGGCUUAAAGGAUAUAUCCAUGGAGUACAACCAGCAAGUAGUUGUUUAAGACAGCCUGCUGCUGGGACAGGCAAAUCAUGGCCUCAGGACAAGCUGGGAAGAAGAUCCUGUUCCCAGCAGUCUGCUGGCAGCAGCCCUGACUCCGUCCUGAGCUCCUGCAGGACUGAGGUGACUGUGGGUCCAGUGCCGGCGGCUGUGGCUGAGCAAGGAGGAGGAGAGCUCGGAGAGGCAGCUCUGACAGCAGGAGGUGAGGUGAAAGAGUAGGAGCCUGGCCUUUUCGUGACUCAGUAGCACUGAUUUGUUCAAAGAAGUAGCAGUUGGAAGGAGAGGGAGCAGAGCAGAUACAGCUGUGGGGUAGGAGGCCAAAGGAGAAGCAGGCAAGACAAGGGAAGACCACAGCUAGGAGACACAUUCAGCCAAGCCAGCUGCUCAUAUCGUGUUUUGGGGUUUCUUAAUUGAUUUUUACACUAACAGACAAGCUGAUUUUUUUUUUGGAUGUUUCUCUAGAACUGAGUCAUUUCCUGGGGUGGGGGGUGGGAAGAAAAUAGCGUUUUUCUUGAAGUUUUAAAACAGAGUUUUAGCGUUUGGAUUAAGGAUUCUUUCUUUGUUUAGUUAUUCUCUUUAUUUCACUGAAACAGUUAAAUUUUAAAAAGCAUAAAAACAAAAGCCAGCAGUUGACAACCCCUAAAUUUGUGCCAGAGCAGCUCUUUGCUCAGAUUGUCCAUACCAGGUAGCCCACAGCAGUGUAUGGGGUGGAGGCUGAGACAGCCAAAGCAGCCCAGCUCCAGACUGUCUUGUCAUCGUGUUCACCCGCAGAGGCUGAUGCUUUUUCCAGCUCCUGCACACGUCACGGGUGUUGGUGCCUGUCUGCUCCUCAGCACAGUGACCUUUCUUCUGGUUUACACAUCAAAAUUAACUGUUUUGGCAGCAGUUUCCAGUUCAGUGUGAGCCACGUGCACUAUAGUGGAUGUAGGGCAAAGCUGCCUAAAGCCACCAGAGCUUAUGUCUUGACCUGGGGAAGCCUAAUGUGAAACACUGGUGAGUCUGGAUCUUUUUUUGGCCAGAAAGCUGUAAAUACAAUGUGUUCAUUAAAUCUUAAAAGGACAUUUAAGAUUGCACUCAAGCUUAUUUGAUAGAGUUUAGAGCCUAAUUAAAAUGUAAGAGGCAAAUGGGCUACCAGUCUCGGAGCAGGUUUAUUUUUUUAAAUAAACAGGAGUUAACCACCUUGAAGGAGAAGUCACACCAUCCAGGAAGCUCCAAGCACCAACUUCACUCUGUCCUGUCUUGUCCGUGGACUGGGGACAGGAAAACCAUUGGCCAAGGUGAAAUGAACAGCAAAACUUCCAUUGACAUCAGUGGGUCCUGGAGUCAUGGCAUUUUUUUGUUUGUUUGGUACGCAUGUCCUAUAGUGGUUGGUUCCUGGAAUGCUGUGUGCGUGGUCUCUCAAUGGAGAAGGAGGCAAACAUUCCCUUUCAGAGUUAUUGCCUCUACGUCACACAGCUGGCUGCAGAGAGACCAUUGCUCUUGGCAUAAUUUAACUGGAAAUCAAACAGAGUCACUGCAGUUACCUCAGAUCCAGAAAGCUUUAUCUCACUGCACUGUUUAGCUGGUUAUCCUCCCUAAAUAGUGUGAAGUGGGAGAAAAGAAAGCUUUUAAAUGUGUGCUCAUUGAAUCCAGCAGGAAACCACAGAAGAUAUGUUGGGAUCAUGCACCAGCUUGAUCCAACUCUACCCUCAGUUUCUCAUGCCUUUCUUUCAAUGCUUGCAAGGACCCGUAGCACCACAUGAUGUGCAGAAACCUCUGGAAGUACAGACUAGCCUGGAGCACUGACCCUUGGAAGUCGACAGGCACAUGGUCAGCAGCAGGCAAUUGUAAAAUACAGCCUGGCCCUUGAAAACAGCUUGAUUUCUUAUCCUCAACAGAUGGUAUUAACCCAUUCUUAUCUAAACUGGUGAGCAGCAGUGAUUUAACAUUUUAAAACAAAAGGAAGCUAGAGAAUACUGAUGACUAAUUUCCUCCAAACAGCGUCAUAUGGGUCAUCUUCCUCGUGUGUUGUUUGUAUUGCUGAUUAGCCUUUAGGUAGAUAUUCAUAUAUCAACUAUUAUUUUCCGCUGUGAAUUGUGGUUUUCUGCCCAGCAGCAAGUCCAGUUUCCAGGGUAAUUGGGAAGCCAACUCCUUUCUAACUACGCAAAAGAUGAACUGUGUUUCCUGCAACUUUAAUGUCUCUAAUGUUAGUGGUUGAGUAAUAGCCGGACACAACAGUGUCUUCUGUAAGGAAAUAUGCCAAGAGCUGCUGCUUAGAAGUGAAUAAAACUUUUUUUUUCCUUUUUUUUUUCUUUUUUUAAAAAAAAGUGUUUUGAAUUAUUUGAAGCUGCAAAAACAGCCCUUUCCAAUCAAAGCUUAUCCUUCACAACAACAGGAUGCAUUGCUCUAUUUAAGCAAGUAAUAAUAUUGGUUUUAGUCACUGGACAUGCGUCGCUUCCUGUUGGAAGGAUUGCACAGAAAACUAAUUUAUUGUGUAUCAGAUCACUAAUUUAUUGUGUGUUUGGAGAAUUUAUAUACAGAGUUGUUUUUGAAUACCAUCUGUGUGUAAGAAAAUAUAUCUUUGGAAUAAGCCAGUGUGAUCUGUCUAUUGGCUGUACAACAUAAAACAAAUUAAGGUAAGCAGCCUCUGAAGGUCUGUGUUGCUCUGUUAGCAUUAGCAAAACCAUGAGUGUUUGGGGUCUCAAUGCUUCUGAUUUACAGUCAGAAAAAUUCAGUCACUAUCUGCUCAUUCUGGUUGUACAAGACCUUUCACCUAAAAACUCCCAGUUGCUUAAAAGGCAAUUACUGGGAGCAGUGGCAAAAUUUUGCCCAAGGACUUCUUCAUUGCCCCCUGCUAAUGAUCUGCUGGAAUUCUGCCUCUCCCAGAACAUAACCAUAGCAGAGUAAUUCUGAUGUCUGUCAUUGCUCCCUUACUUAUAUUAACAGUGUAUUUCAUGGCUAAUUUCUCAUCUUGCAGAGUUGGUUUCUCCACGUUAGGUUGUACUAAUGAAGUGAGAACAGAUUCUGAGCUCUCACUCUUCCAGGGGAAAAAGCCCAAACUUGGCUGAAAUUAAUGGAGUUGGUCUGCUUUGACCUGGCAUAAGGAGGAUCCUCGUCUGCCUUCAGCUCUGCAAUACUUGUCCUGCCAGCCAAGAAUGGCCUUGCUCAGGCUAAAAAGAGAUUGUUGGACCAGCAGAUACACAGAACAAUGAGCCAGUGUUGGACCACCUCGUGACAGUUCCUGCACUGCAGAAAUCACUUCAGAGCCCACAGGAGGCUGGUCCAGGAUGCAGCUCUGUCAUCAAUGCAAUCUCUGAAAGCCUUGCUGAUGUGAACCAGGCUGAGAGCUGUGGGAAGGAAGAGUUCAUCUCUUGAUAACCAGUGCACAAAGAUCUGUCAGCCUGAUCACAGCUCUGGAGGGUUUCGAGGCAUCAUCUCUUGUGGCAUUUGUGCAAUCCAGUCUUUAUUACCUGCUGACAAACAUGAGCACCAAACUCUUUUUGAUACGGAUAGAGUGAAAACAGUGUGAUAUUCCUGUGUCUUGGGAGAGUAAGAAAUGUGUGCUUAGCUAUAGGAUGGUGCUCAUCAAAUUUUGACUCACAGAAUAGUUCUAAUUACACCAUCAAUCCAUAUAGGAUUAAUACAUGAAAGCCCAGGCAGGGAAACAUAUGCUUUGGGGGGUUUAUCUUCAGCACAAGCCUCUAAUCUUUCCUCAGGAAAUUACCAUGUAUUUUAUCAGUGCCUUGGUGUUAAUUCUUAAAACCUAAAUACUUCAACCAAAAGGAACUGACCAUCUACCUUUUUUUCUUUCUUAUAAAUGUAGUUGUUGUUACCUCAUUAACUAUUUAGCAUCCUGGCAGGUUUGUGCAAUAAGCUGAGCUUGGCAGAACCACCAGGGUUGUAGCCCUGAAGGAAAAUGCCAUAGCUCUCCGUCUCUGAUACAUUUUGUUUAGCAGAGAUUUAAAAGCAGCAGUAACAGAACCGUAAUAAGAUAUAUUUGGCAAGAAGAUACAAAAUAACUAUUAAGCUGGUUUACAUCUGUUUCCUUUUUCAUUCAUUUUCCCUUCUCUAAUUACUUACUUAACAUCAAUCUGCUAUCACAGUAGCUUGGAUUAUUCUCUUUGGGUCUAGCCUCCACGUCACUGGAUUUCAUUGCUGCUGCUUCAUCGGUAAGUAAUGGGUCUCUUUGUAGUUACAGACCCGGACUCCUGCAGUCAAAGUGAUUAGCAGCACAUCUCUUUAAACACUCCUGUCACACAAAGGUGUGGAGAACAACGAGGCUUGCUCUGUAUUGCCAGCACUCACAUAUGUACAGUCGGAUAAUCACAUAUAACACAGUGUGAGAUUUUGGAAGAUGGGGGACAAAUCUGUGGAAAGCUUUAUACAUGCCAGGAAAAACUAUCUUUUGAGUAAGCACAUAUUCCCUGAAGUACCCCAUAUAUAUCAGCAGAUGUUGCAUCACAGGUUCAGCAACAAAAGGGAAAAGUUAUUUUUUCAUCGCACAGUAAAUAGUUUUUAUGGUUUGUUUUUUAUUUUCAGGUACUGUGAGUAAAAAAGAAAAUAAAUGUUCUCUUUGGAGGAAUGGUGAGAUUUGCUCCUGCCUGUCACGUUUCAAAGCUCAGGAGCAGAGGGCUGGCUCCUGGGAUGUGGGUUGGGCUAAGGCUGGCACUUUGCCCCACAGCAGUUGCAGCGUAAGGGGCUCCCAGGGAAACCUUCUCAGUCAUCCUGGCUGGCCAACAGCCAUGGCAGCAUUUGUUCUCUCUACACAAGAAGGGUUCUGAAAAUAA